rnacentral:lncRNA from 1 species
AGAGAGGUCACUGCAACGUGGAAUUGGGUAGAGGAGGUGACCUUGAGCAGGUGACUAUUUAGGCAGAAGGCCAGGGGUCUCAAUACUGCUGAUGGCAGUAGGAAGCCAGAGAGCACAGCAGCCUGUUCAUGUCAGAUAGAGGACCGUAGAGAGUAUAUCUGGAAGGGGAAGAUGGAAGAUAGGCACACAGCUGGCAAGGCUGGAGAAGUGGGUGCCAGUUCCAGCUCUGGGAUGAACAAGUUGUAAAACUUCGGUCAAGCCAUGUUCCCUGUCUGGGCCAGUUUCUCCCCUCCCUUCCCCCUUCCCUUCCCUUUCCUUCCCUUUUCUUCCCUCCCUUCCCCUUCUCUUUCCUGCUCUGCCCUGCCUCCCCUCCACUCCCCUGCCCUGCCCUGCACUAUUUUCCCUGCCCUUCCCUGGCCUCGCCUCCCCUCCCCUCCCAUCCCUUCCUCUCCCCUCUUCUCCCCUCCCCUCCCUUACC